CCUANGGGGGGCUGCAGUGGGGAAUCUUGCACAAUGGGCGAAAGCCUGAUGCAGCGACGCCGCGUGGGGGAUGAAGGCCCUCGGGUCGUAAACCCCUUUCGGCAGGGAAGAAGCGCAAGUGACGGUACCUGCAGAAGAAGUCCCGGCUAACUACGUGCCAGCAGCCGCGGUAAGACGUAGGGGACGAGCGUUGUCCGGAUUUAUUGGGCGUAAAGCGCGCGUAGGCGGUUUGGUAAGUCGGAUGUGAAAUCCCGCGGCUCAACCUCGGGACUGCAUCCGAUACUGCCCGACUAGAGGUAGGUAGGGGAGAUCGGAAUUCCUGGUGUAGCGGUGAAAUGCGCAGAUAUCAGGAGGAACACCGGUGGCGAAGGCGGAUCUCUGGGCCUUACCUGACGCUGAGGCGCGAAAGCUAGGGGAGCGAACAGGAUUAGAUACCCCGNUANUC
rnacentral:rRNA from 1 species